AUACGCUGCGAAAAGCCGUGGGGAGCUGCGAAUAAGCUUUGAUCCAUGGAUCUCCGAAUGGGGCAACCCACCUUAAAUGCUUGGAAAAUCAUUCUGGUUGGCUGGAGGCUUGUGUGGGAGUUCCCAUACAGGGUGAAAGCCCGUCGGCGCUGAUGCGCCGCGCCGUCCGCGGGCCUUUGGGCGUGAGGACAGAACCCGAGUGGUUUCCAAGCAUUGUGAUAAGGUAUCUGCACCUGAAUAAACUAGGGUGUAAGAAGCGAACGCAGGGAACUGAAACAUCUAAGUACCUGCAGGAAAGGACAUCAACCGAGACUCCGCAAGUAGUGGCGAGCGAACGCGGACCAGGCCAGUGGCAAUUGUUGUUAAAGCGGAACAAUCUGGAAAGUUUGGCCGUAGCGGGUGACAGCCCCGUACGCGUAGAUACAGCGAUUGUCCUAGAGUAGGGCGGGACACGAGAAAUCCUGUCUGAACAUGGGGAGACCACUCUCCAAGCCUAAGUACUCGUGCAUGACCGAUAGC
rnacentral:rRNA from 1 species